rnacentral:rRNA from 1 species
AACGAACGCUGGCGGCAUGCCUAACACAUGCAAGUCGAACGAAGUCUUCGGACUUAGUGGCGCACGGGUGCGUAACGCGUGGGAAUCUGCCCUUGGGUGCGGAAUAACUUCUCGAAGGGGAUGCUAAUACCGCAUAAUGUCGUAAGACCAAAGAUUUAUCGCCCAAGGAUGAGCCCGCGUAAGAUUAGCUAGUUGGUGGGGUAAAAAGCCUACCAAGGCGACGAUCUUUAGCUGGUCUGAGAGGAUGAUCAGCCACGCUGGGACUGAGACACGGCCCAGACUCCUACGGGAGGCAGCAGUGGGGAAUAUUGGACAAUGGGCGAAAGCCUGAUCCAGCAAUGCCGCGUGAGUGAUGAAGGCCCUAGGGUUGUAAAGCUCUUUUACCAGGGAUGAUAAUGACAGUACCUGGAGAAUAAGCUCCGGCUAACUCCGUGCCAGCAGCCGCGGUAAU